rnacentral:lncRNA from 1 species
AUAUCUUUAUGUCCAAGGAACCAGUAAGUGCCAAACAAAACUAUUCUACAGCAAAGAAAAGAAAAUAGAAAGACAUCACAGAAGUUCCUAUUGUCCUCCUCCUUCAACAUUUGAAAACCUUCACCUGGCAAUAGAUCAAUCAUGAGUGAGAAACAAUACAGCAGCAAAAAAUGUUCAGAUGAUGCAAAAAAUAACAGUCAUUACACAUGGUAUUCGCGUACAGAUUGUAAGUCAUGGAUCCAUUACACAUAGUUUUUGUGUUGUGGACUAUCUUCAUGCAAUUGCUACUUGGUAAGGCAUUACAAUGCUCCAGGAAGUGUACCACACUACAGUAACAGUCUACAGUAUGCACAGCUAGGAAUUGUAAGUCACAUUGCAUAUCCACACCAGAAACUAAGUCAAACAUGCAUGCUACUAAUCCACUGUCCUGUAGUUGUGUCAAACCCACCAGCAUCAGUAUUCAGUAGUACUCAACCAAUGACAGUAGAAAAAUGUACUACCUCAUCACCCAUUUCGCGCAGGUGCUUGACGAAGUUCUGGAACUGGUUCUUGUACCCAGAGAUGUAGCUGCAAACAUGCAUGGAAGACGCACGCAAAAUUAGUUCACAUAUACUAGGAAAUUAACAGAAUAUUUUAUUCGACUAGUGCCAUCAAGUUACACCAAUUCACGACAAGGAGAAGAAAGGAGCAUGACACGACAUAUUUAUGUAAGAUGUUGAUUAUUCAGAGAAGUUAAACUAAGUGCAGGUCACCCAAAACUGAAUUUCUUGCAAUCCAAACAACACAAACAGCACGGAGAUGGUUGCAUAGAUACAAAUCCAUGUGGUAGCAGCAAAAUUGACCAAUCUGGACUGCAUCUUCUCUGUUUGGUACUAACUAAAUAAAAAAACUGGACUUGUUCAUACAAAUCCCUCUUGAAUUCCUUGACACAACCAGGAUUUGCAUCAAAUAUUCCUUAAUUUAGCAGCAUUAGUAAGCAGAGAAAGAGGGGGAGGGAGAUGGGGAUGCUACCUGCCGUGGUGGGUCGUCGUGGCCGUGCUUGAUCUCGGGCAGGACCUCUUGGUCGCACUAGGGGCAGAGGAGAAGGCCUCUCAUGCCCCUCCUCCUCGAGCAGAGCAGGGCCGACGGCUAGGUGCGCCCCUCAUCCUCAUCCUCCUUUAGCAGGGCAGCAUCUGUUAUAAUUUGUGU